rnacentral:lncRNA from 1 species
CAGGACCCAUAACAUUAGCAGGCGAAGGCCUACUAGCCAGCGCAGACGGCGCAGGAACCCUAGGCGGAGGAACUUCAAGACCUUCCCGCGCUAUGCUAGCACCCUUAGCCAGUUCCUCCGCAGUGGCCAACCCUGCGACCACAUCCUCUAAAAAACAUAAAAUAAUAUAAGAUCGUUAUGACAGAAACAAACAUAAAAAUCAAAAAUACCAAGGAAACGAACCUAUGUACAACGAAUUUAUAGCAUCCACAGCCGGACGCGGGGUAGCCUCCACCCUCUUUAUCCUCCGAACAGAGACGGACUCUGCAUCGUCACUGGAUUCAUCCCGUGCAUCCUUUGGCGGGGAACCUCCGCCAACUGAAGCCCCACGCGCAGGACCCUCAGCCACUGCAGGAUUUGCCUACCGCGCAGGGCUCGCC